CGCUGGCUGGCGUAAUCUCCUUUAGCGGCGAAUUUGUCAUGCUACAGAUGAAAAUCUGUAUGACACAGAUCCACCUUGUUCAGAAAAGACAAGAAUGAGGUAACAAAUUUCGAACCAGCGCAGUGGCCUCUCUGGUGGCAGUGUUUUAAACAUGUUGGCCUGAUGCAUUCAAAACAGCAAGGAAAGACACUGAGAGAGGAAAUGAUAACACACAAGAAACAGACAAAGGACUAAGAUUAUUUUUAGGGGCAUAAGGCCACACAUUUCUUACUCUUAUUCUGUUAUACACCUCCCAACACUUUAAUAUGAGGCCCUUGUUUCUAUCAUGUUGCAAAGGUAAACCGUUGCCUUUAACCAUCAUUAUGUUUUGGAGAUCCAUUUCAACUCUUGGGUGAUCAAGCAGAAAGUUGAGUUACAUAUAGAUGUCUAGCCCAAUCACCCCGGGUUCAAGGGGAACUGAUUCAACAUGUUCAAGCUUAUUCUAGGUUUCAUUGACCCAUCACCGUGUGUUGUACAGCCAUUUAGAUAAAGAAGAAAGUUGAGUUACGUGUACUUGUUGUCUUGCUUAAUGACUCCAGAUGUCGAGGAAACUGAAUCAGGCCUA